CUUAAUUAAAAUCUAAGAAAAGUUAAGAACCGUCUCUUAACCGAAACUAAGAACCUCAGUUAAGAGACUGGGAUUAAUCAUUGUCGAAGUAUUCCUUAUUCUAACUUGUUUCCAUUAUGAGCCGCAGAGCAAGUGAUUAGCUAUAAUAAGCAGAGGGGAUGAACCUAACUUAAAGUUUUGUCUUUCUCUAUUUUCCAAGCUAGGAAACAAGUACUCAUAGCUUUCACGGACCAUACGGCAUUGAUUAGUAUCAAUCAGAAAUAAAACUGAGUUCGCUAUCUGUUAAAAUAAAAAUAAACAGAUAAAUCUUUUGUAAAUUUACUGAUGUAGAAUCUUGAGCUGAUAAAAAAAAAAAAGAAAAAAAAAACGUAGAACUGAUAAGUUCAGUACAUAAUAAGGGAAAUAAGUAAUUUCAGUUAACAGUUUACAGCUGGGUACUUAACUAAACCUUAAUGUCUACUCCCUCCGUUUUUUAAUAUAAGUCGUUUUACAGCUAUGCACGUAGAUUAAGAAAACUAUUAAUUUCUUAUAUUUUCUAAACAAAAACAUCAUUAAUUAUUUACCUAACCAC
rnacentral:lncRNA from 1 species